UUUUAACAACAGCACCUUUUUUAAUUGCACACUCGUCUCUUCUUCAGCUGCUGUUUACAUUUUUCUUAACGGAACGUCCCACGGGGGACGAAGUAACUUUUUGUCGAAGCGUUCCCCCAUUUUGUGCAGCAUAGAGCAUUGUGGAAAUGUGAGGUGUUUGACGAACGAGAAGAAAAAGGUGUGGAAUUUGCGACAGUUUUGAGUGGGACGGACUAACGUUGCUGGUGUCGCAAAUGCAAGGGCGACGAGAAACGACUGAAACGAGUUAGCAGCGACAAGAAAGCGGAACAUAACGUGGUGUGGGUGGAGUAGUUUCAAACCAGGAUUGUACUGAGUUAAUUGAAGAUUUUGUAUCGAGUUGUGGGGGAUGGAGAAGGGUUAUCUAACAAGGAAAACGGAGUAAUCUGAUAAGUCGUGGUUAUAUAUUGUGUACAGUUAGCAAUUAGUGGAGACAUGUUUUAAACGUGUACAAUUGAGUUACUCCUAUCUGAGAUUUGAAUAAAUUGAGAUUGUCUAGUUGUCACUGCACACUAUCAAAUGAAAUCAUGGACCGACGACAACACCCCAACAGAAAUGGACAACAAAGUCCAUUCGAUUUCGGCUCGACACCAUCUACUCCGCCGUUGACAUCGUCUUCUUCUGGGCGACAACAAUUAUCUUCCCCAUUUUUUGGAAAUGUUAACAACAAUAACAAUGCUUCCAUUCUUCAGUCAUCCAUGGGUUUAACCACGACAGAUUUGCAGUAUUUCCCAAACACUGGAGUUUAUUAUAGCAAUCCUCCCACAAUGCAUAGCCCACCCCCAGGUUUUACAGCAGUUCAGCAACAAAACGCUGCUGGUCUUCCACCUGGAUAUCAGCACGUUCUUAAUAUGCAAAAUGUUCACCUUCAACAACAAUGUCCACCACAAAAUUUAUGCCAUGUUGGUGGAUUUCCUCAACAGCAGCAGCAACAACAACAAGUUCCCCCCAUGUUUAAUAAUAAUUUCACUCCCUUAGAGCUCGGAGAACAUUCUGUUCAUUACGACGCCAUAAGUUCACUUCAGACCCAGAUGCAAAAACAUCCUGAAUAUAACAUGUAUGACAACAAUGUUAACAACAAUAAUCACGGGAUGAUGGAAUUUGGACAAUCCACCUCCUUAGGAAACCGUUCAGCCACCGGUGUUAGUUGUCCUACUACCGAUAGAAAUAUGUCCCCGAUUGAUAAGACCUUCAUCGCUCAGAAAAGUGGGAUUGAACCCCUCAUCGACAAUAUUGUGGGAUCAAUGAUAUUCAACGGAGUCAAUGGAACGUAUACUCAUUUCGGCCCUUCGGGAUGCACAACAUUUCCAUCAUCCGAAUUUGAACGACAUAAUAAUAACGAAGCAGCGCACAUGGAAUUUGUUGGUUCAUCAGGACAAGCUCCAACGUUGGUUACAAAUUAUAAACCAAGUGACACCAAAAUCGUCGAACAAAGGCAGGAAUCGCCAACUCCACGAGGACAACAACAACAAAGUUCAUGUUCCACGGGCCACAUUGCUCCACAAAUGGUUGGACGAUCAUCUACUCCCAAUGGCGAAAACACAACGGCUGAAAAUACUUCUCGACCUCAAACCCCAAAUAAACCCUCAUAUUCUGAAAUUUUGGCAAAGAGUAAUGCAAACCAGAGUGGCGCUUCGACACCAACCUAUCGACGCGCAACGUCGACUGCAAGUUCUUCCACAUCAUCACAGCCAGCAGCUUCGAAAAGCUCUUUUUCCAACCAACCCAUCACAUCUACUGCAAAUCUCCCCCGAAAAUCUGAUUGCACAAGUGUUAGCUCUGGCUCUUCAGCAAACUCUUCUUCAUGCACGUCCCUGUCAUCCAGUCCAAUCGCGAAGCAGAAAACUUUAUCGCAAACAAUUAUGGGCCGUUUGUUUACGACAUCCACUUUUGGCAAGGAGAACACUGCCACACCCACCAGCAAAACCUCAUACUUCUCUUACAAUAGAACCCCACCAGCAUCCACGACUCCGACUCAUCGCCGGAAGUCCGUGAACGAGAUUAAACGUGACGAUCGUAAAGUUCUUCAAGCGUCUCAAAACUCUGGGGGAAAUUUAAAACUGAAGGUAAAACCAAAGUUUAACAAGGGGUCGGCAUCAAGUAUUCAUUCGGAUCCUGCUGUGGAUGAGCAAACCCCACCACAGUCAUCAGAACAACAGGAGGAGGAUGGCGACUGGAAAACGUAUUCUCGGAAUAAACACACUACCACGACCAACCGACCUACUCAAUCGCUGAAUGUUUCAAACUCUAAAUCAACAACGAGUGAAGAAUUUAGUAACAAGGACGAGAACAAGAUCGCUUCAAAUAACGAUGAUGAUGCUGAUGAGGACGUUGUUUUUGAAUCAGAAGAAGGAGAUGCAAGUGGUGCAUCGCGCCGUGAGGCUGAUAAGACGAAAUCUGGACAACAAUCUGCCACCACGAAUGUAGGGAAUGGGAGUCAACAGCAAGCCCAACAACGAAAAAGCCGAGAAAAGGAAAGGCCCAAGAACAAAAAGGAUUGUCGAGUUGCUAAUGCUGCAAUCCAACGGUGUCAUCGGAUCGUAUAUUUAUGGGGAAUCACAAUGAUCUCUGCCGUAGCUUGGCUCGUGAAGCUGGUUACUGACGUUUUCACUCUUUCAAUUUCGGUUGGAUCUACACUAAUGGAAGACUUAUACUCUUGGUGGAUAAAUAAAGCUGUUCCUGGAUUCCUCCAGCAAGUCAAUAUGAUUGAAGAAACGUUACGAGUGAGUUGUCGAAAGUUGAAGCAGGGCGUCUCCUCUUGGAACCGGUGGCCAUUUCGUCGGAAACUUAACGACGAGAGUAGUGAUUUAAAAAAGAAUUCUCAAGACCUCUUGGCGGCAUUGGGACCUGACAAAAAUAUCCAGAUAACUAAUGCUGACGAAACGCUAAAGAGAUUGCUUAGUUGCAAAGGCCAAGAUCCAUACAGCAUUUUGGGAGUGCGAAGCGACAGUUCUGAUGAAACGAUUAGAAGAUAUUACAAGAAACAAGCCGUUUUAGUUCAUCCUGAUAAGAACCUGGUCGUUGGUGCAGAAGAGGCAUUCAAAAUACUAGGCAGGGCUUUUGAAUUUAUCGGCGAAUCUUCUAAACGGCAAGAGUACCACAGCAAACUGCUGGAAGCGCAUGCAAAGGAGCAGGUUUAUGGUGAAAUUGGGAAAUUACUUGAACAAUUGAGGAAAAAGAUGGAAAUUGCCACUAGUUCGAUUCGAUGUACAAAAUGCAAUUUGCGCCACAAGAAAAAUAAGACGGAUCGUCCCCUCUUUGCUUGCAGAUUCUGUUCUCAGUGCAAAAUACACCAUGCUGCUCGAGAGGGUGAAUUAUGGGCUGAAAGCAAAGGGUGGUUUAAAAUGUCUUGGAACUAUUUUACUUGCAUGGACUGUCACGUCUGGGAAAUUAACGAAUGGGCGAAAUGUCAAAAGAAGAACUUGAUGCAUAUCAAGGCGGAUUCCCACUGUGUCAUGUACAGGCUCGUGGCUGGCGGCGGAAACGGUGGCACUGGACAACAACCGGGAGGAGGAAAUCCAGGUCAAGGUCCAGACGGUCAGUUUCACGUGGAUCCUGAAGAUGACUGGGACUCUCUAAUUAACAACUUGUGUAAAACUGGUGGAGUUCCUGGAAACAAGGGGGACCAUUUCUAUCAGCAAGGCAACGGUUCGGCAGGGAAUUUUUAUACCAGUGGGGCUAGUGGUACUGCUAAUGCCUCUUCUUCUACCACUAAUGGCGCCGCGGCUGGUCGAAAGAGGAAGGGAAAGCGUAAAUAAGCAGAAAGAAGAACUUCAGUAAUCCGAUCACCCACGGCUAAUGCAAAUAUAUUUAAUUGAACCCAAAAUUCGCACCUGAACCAAAACUAAACCCAGCCAAUAUUAAUGCUUUUUGAAACUUUUAUACUCAGAAAAGUGCUUCACACACAGUUCACAGUCAGUUUUAUCUAAUUAUGUAAUUUACAAAAAUAUCACCAACGUAUUGUAGUUGUGAAUGUGCUGCUAUUUGUGCUCUUUUUUUGAAUGAUAAUGAUGACGACAUAUAUAAGACGAUCAUUUUCUUCGGUGGCCGUAUAAAAUUUAUACAUAUGUUACAUGUUUUUUGACUAUGCUCAAUCUGUAAUAUUUUUCUCUUUAGUACUUGUUCAUUUGACCCGUUCUCUAAAUGUGCAUGAGCUGCCGAUGAAUAUGAAUUGAUUAACAUGAUUAAGUAUGGCGUCCUCCUUCUUGUUAGAGAUUACCAAAAAUAGAUAAUUAAUUAGUGGUACUUUCUAAUUAUUCUACAAAAUUGACUUUUAUUUGGACGAAGAAUUUUUAAACAGACAGAUUCGUGCUUAUCUGUAUGGAUUUAGUUACUAAUAAGAUUGGUAUAAAAGAUGAAGGAAGAAUAUUGAAAUGCAAAACUUAUUGUCAUCUAUAAUUCAAUUCAUGAAGAAAUGAUCAUUCUCAAUUUCAACUUGAUUUGCCAACAUUGUGUAAGACUGCUUAAAAAUUAAUGAAUUAAUUGUUUAAUUACUACAGUAUAAUUCUUAUUUAAUAAUAGUAUUAAUAUGAGUAGGAUAUUCAUAAGAUUAAUAAACUAUUUAAGUACUAUGAUAUUAAUGCUCGUAUUUGUUAUAUUGCUUCGAUGAUAAUAACAUACACAUUUCAAGUAGAUUUAUUAUACGGUCUAGUUAGAGCUUUACAAUUCUUGAAUUUGACAGUAAUUAAUUAUUAAUUAAAUUAAGAAGAGAACGUAAGUUUCCGAACUAAUUGUUAGUUUUCUGCCAACCAAUUACUGUACAUGCAUGUGUUGAAUUCUACACACGCACAUUGUAUGUAUUAUACCAGCAGAAGAAUUAUAAAAGAAUAAAGGAAGGUGGCAUUAUAUUUUCUAUGCCUGAAAUUUAA